UACGUAGGGCGCAAGCGUUGCCCGGAUUUAUUGGGCGUAAAGGGCGCGUAGGCGGCCACGCACGUCCGUUGUGAAAUCGCCCGGCUCAACUGGGCGGGGUCAGCGGAUACGGUGUGGCUCGAGCAAGCUAGGGGGCAAUGGAAUUCCCGGUGUAGUGGUGGAAUGCGUAGAUAUCGGGAGGAACACCAGUGGCGAAGGCGGUUGCCUGGAGCUUUGCUGACGCUGAGGCGCGAAAGCAUGGGGAGCGAACAGG
rnacentral:rRNA from 1 species